rnacentral:rRNA from 1 species
AUUGAACGCUGGCGGCAUGCCUCAUACCUGCAAGUCGAGCGAGCGGCGGACGGGUGAGUAUUGUAUGGGGCUCUGCCUGCUGGAGGGGGAUAACUACUGGAAACGGUAGCUACUACCGCAUACCAUCAGAUGAACCCAUACGGGAUUAGCUGGUGGGUGAGGUAACGGCUCACCUAGGCGACGAUCCCUAGCUGGUCUGCGAGGCUGAUCGACCACACUGGGACUGAGACACGGCCCAGACUCCUACGGGAGGCAGCAGUGGGGAAUAUGGCACAAUGGGCGCAAGCCUGAUGCAGCCAUGCCGCGUGUAUGAAGAAGGCCUUCGGGUUGUAAAGUACUUUCAGUCGGGAGGCGUUACCGACAGAAGAAGCACCGGCUAACUCCGUGCCAGCAGCCGCGGUAAUAC